rnacentral:rRNA from 1 species
UGGGGAAUUUUGGACAAUGGGCGCAAGCCUGAUCCAGCCAUGCCGCGUGCGGGAAGAAGGCCUUCGGGUUGUAAACCGCUUUUGUCGGGGAAGAAAAGCCUUGGGUUAAUACCCUGGGGUGAUGACGGUACCCGAAGAAUAAGCACCGGCUAACUACGUGCCAGCAGCCGCGGUAAUACGUAGGGUGCAAGCGUUAAUCGGAAUUACUGGGCGUACAGCGUGCGCAGGCGGUUGUGUAAGACAGAUGUGAAAUCCCUGGGCUCAACCUGGGAACUGCAUUUGUGACUGCACAGCUGGAGUGCGGCAGAGGGGGAUGGAAUUCCGCGUGUAGCGGUGAAAUUCGUAGAUAUACGAAGGAACACCGAUGGCGAAGGCAAUCCCCUGGGCCUGCACUGACGUUCAGGCACAAAAGCUUGGGGAGUAAAC